rnacentral:rRNA from 1 species
GGCGAACGGGUGAGUAAUACAUCGGAACGUGCCCUGUAGUGGGGGAUAACUAGUCGAAAGAUUAGCUAAUACCGCAUACGACCUGAGGGUGAAAGCGGGGGACCGCAAGGCCUCGCGCUACAGGAGCGGCCGAUGUCUGAUUAGCUAGUUGGUGGGGUAAAAGCCUACCAAGGCGACGAUCAGUAGCUGGUCUGAGAGGACGAUCAGCCACACUGGGACUGAGACACGGCCCAGACUCCUACGGGAGGCAGCAGUGGGGAAUUUUGGACAAUGGGGGCAACCCUGAUCCAGCAAUGCCGCGUGUGUGAAGAAGGCCUUCGGGUUGUAAAGCACUUUUGUCCGGAAAGAAAUGGCCUGGGUGAAUACCCCGGGUCGAUGACGGUACCGGAAGAAUAAGCACCGGCUAACUACGUGCCAGCAGCCGCGGUAAUACGUAGGGUGCGAGCGUUAAUCGGAAUUACUGGGCGUAAAGGGCGCGUAGGCGGCCUGCUAAGUCGAACGUGAAAUCCCCGAGCUCAACUCGGGAACUGCGUCCGAUACUGGCAGGCUUGAAUCCGGGAGAGGGAUGUGGAAUUCCAGGUGUAGCGGUGAAAUGCGUAGAUAUCUGGAGGAACACCGGUGGCGAAGGCGACAUCCUGGACCGGUAUUGACGCUGAGGCGCGAAAGCCAGGGGAGCAAACGGGAUUAGAUACCCCGGUAGUCC